rnacentral:rRNA from 1 species
UACAGAGGGGGCAAGCGUUGUUCGGAAUCACUGGGCGUAAAGGGAGCGUAGGCGGGUUCUUAAGUUAGGUGUUUAAUCCCGGGGCCCAACCCCGGACCGGCACUUAAAACUGGGAAUCUUGAAUAGUGGAGAGGUCAGUGGAAUUGGAGGUGUAGCGGUGGAAUGCGUAGAGAUCUCCAAGAACACCAGUUGCGAAGGCGGCUGACUGGACACAUAUUGACGCUGAGGCUCGAAAGCAUGGGGAGCAAACAGG